rnacentral:rRNA from 1 species
UGAGGAAUAUUGGUCAAUGGGCGGAAGCCUGAACCAGCCAAGUCGCGUGAGGGAAGACGGUCCUAUGGAUUGUAAACCUCUUUUUGCAGGGGAGCAAGGAGCGGUACGCGUACCGCUUUGGAGAGUACCCUGAGAAAAAGCAUCGGCUAACUCCGUGCC